AGAAAAAAACCCGAUCUGUCAGCGUCUCAUUCACCCAGCGGUGCAGAAAGAGUUAAAUUACGUUCUCUACUGGAGUCCUACCUCAUGUGACAAAUAUGGCCAAUGUGAUUGGCUGUGCCUUUCAGGGAGCUCUGUUUAAUUUUAGCAGCGGCAAUCCUGCACUGCGAGGACCUGUAAGGAGGAGAGGAGGAUGGCGGCAAAAACGAAGAACCUGGAUAUAAGAAAGUAUUUUUCAAAGAAACCUCACCAUGGUCUUGGAGAAAAUCACUUGGCUUGACGACCAACUCCUCCCAUAAGCACCAAUCUCACUAAGGCAAGAGAUAAACAUCACAGCUGGACAGGACGUCACUCUGACAUGUCGAGCUCCAAACAACAACAACAUCAUAGCUGUAGAGUGGAGCAGAGCUGACCUGGGAUCAGAAUAUGUCUUUUUUUACCGGGAUGGACGUUUUGAUCCAGAUCACCAGCAUCCAUCUUUUAAGGACCGGGUGGAUCUGCAGGACAGACAGAUGAAGGAUGGAGACGUUUCUUUGAUUCUGAAGAAUGUGACGACUGCUGAUAGUGGAACAUACGAGUGUCGUGUUGAGAUGAAAACAAAUCGCAGGAAGAGAGCUAAUCUGGAGACUCCCAGCAUCUGCAACUUCACACUGAGUGUUGUUGCUCCUCCAGGUCAGACAGGAGGAGACGCAGAGGAUGGAGUCAGUAGAGGACGUCCUGGUCUGGUAGCUAUUCUCUCAGUCUUUGGUGUGAUUUGUGUUGUUGUGGCUGCUUUUGUGAUCAUUGGAAAACUGAAAACGUCAAAUUCAUCCUGAACAAAGUCCAGUCUGAAAAAAAGCUUGUUGCAAUUUGGGGUUUUUUUCUGUCUGCAGACAAACUUUUUUUUUUUAUUAGUUUUUUUUUUCAUCUCUCGUUAAGAAAUGAAAAUAUUUCUUCGCUGUUGUCAAGUGUUUCCUCUUACUUUACUUUGUACUUUACUGUUUAGUGCCCUGAGCUGACCCAUGCUGUGGUUUUACAGCUAGUGUUUUUUGCUGUUGUUGUUGUUGUUGUUGUUGUUAACUAUGAGGAGUCAGAUGAACUUCCUUCAAUGGAAAAUAAAUAAAACAUCUUUGUGACAUUUUUUUAUUAAUCUGUGAUCAACUUGUUUUGUCUGUUUUGGAUGUCAGCUAUAGUGCUGGAUACAUUAAAAUAUAUUUACUCUAAGCUUGA